UACAGGGGGUGCAAACGUUGCUCGGAAUCAUUGGGCGUAAAGCGCACGUAGGCGGUUCGUUAUGUCGGAUGUGAAAGCCCUUGGCUUAACCGAGGAAGUGCAUCCGAAACUGGCGAGCUAGAGUACGAAAGAGGAUCGCGGAAUUCCCGGUGUAGAGGUGAAAUUCGUAGAUAUCGGGAGGAACACCGGUGGCGAAGGCGGCGAUCUGGGUCGAUACUGACGCUGAGGUGCGAAAGCGUGGGGAGCAAAGCAGGG
rnacentral:rRNA from 1 species